rnacentral:tRNA from 1 species
AGUUUGGUGAUUCAGUAGUAAAAUUCUCAUCUUCUAUGUAGGAGAUCUGGGUUCGAAUCCCAGUCAAUGUA